rnacentral:rRNA from 1 species
UACGUAGGGGGCAAGCGUUGUCCGGAAUUAUUGGGCGUAAAGAGCUCGUAGGCGGUUUGUUGCGUCGGCUGUGAAAUCCCGAGGCUCAACCUCGGGUCUGCAGUCGAUACGAGCAAACUAGAGUGUUGCAGGGGAGACUGGAAUUCCUGGUGUAGCGGUGAAAUGCGCAGAUAUCAGGAGGAACACCGGUGGCGAAGGCGGUUCUCUGGCAAUGUUCUGACGCUGAGGAGCGAAAGUGUGGGGAGCGAACAGG